rnacentral:lncRNA from 1 species
ACAUGGCCAGGGGUCUGGUAGCAGAAAUCAGACCCCUGGUGGAGUAGGGGAGGAGAAGGAGUCCUGGGCAGACACAAAGAAUAUCCAUUCUAAUUCUCACCCACCCUUCUGAUUUUACAUUUAUUUUCCUAGAUAUUUUACUUAAUGGGAAAGUGAUGCCUUGUAUUACGGACCUGAGUAUUCCAGGUAUUGACAUGUAAGAAGACAUUAUGUUGGAUAAUAGGAAGAGCUGUAGAGUUUGCAGGUGUCAACCGUGGCCUUAAUAAGCACACUGAUAGCAUCAAUGCCAGACAGAUGAAAUUUAUUAUUUUCUGGAUAUUUUUCCAUAAAGGCACAUGUGGCUGA